AUGCAGGACUUCCUCUGGAGAAAUCGCAGCUCUCUUACCGAGUUUAUUCUGCUAGGAUUCUCUAGUGACACGAAGAUAAAUGGUAUUCUGUUCGGUGUCUUUCUUCUCCUCUACCUCAUCACCCUCCUGGGCAAUGGACUAAUUAUCACUAAUUGAUACGCAUGGAUUCCCGCCUCCACACACCCAUGUACUUUUUCCUCAGUGUCUUAUCCAUUCUGGAUAUGGGAUAUGUCACCACCACAGUGCCCCAGAUGCUGGUACAUCUGGUCUGUGAGAAGAAGACCAUCUCCUACAUUGGAUGUGUGGCUCAGAUGUACAUCUUCCUGAUGUUGGGAAUCACCGAAUCAUGGCUUUUUGCAAUCAUGGCUUAUGAUAGGUAUGUGGCCAUUUGUCAUCCUCUCAGAUAUAAAGUCAUCAUGAGCCCUUUGCUGCGUGGGUCACUGGUAGCCUUUUGUGGGUUCUGGGGUGUCAGCUGUGCCCUGAUAUAUACGGUUUCUGCUAUGAUUCUUCCCUACUGUGGCCCCAAUGAGAUCAACCACUUCUUCUGUGAAGUCCCCGCUGUCCUGAAGUUGGCCUGUGCAGACACCUCUCUCAAUGACCGGGUGGACUUCAUCCUAGGCUUCAUCCUUCUCCUGGUCCCUCUUUCCCUCAUCAUUGUUGUCUACAUCAAUAUCUUUGCUGCUAUCUUGAGAAUCCGCUCAACUCAAGGGCGGAUCAAGGCCUUUUCCACCUGUGCCUCCCACAUCACUGUGGUCACCAUGUUCUCGAUCCCAUGUAUGAUUAUGUAUAUGAGACCUGGCUCCGAAUCUUCUCCAGAAGAGGACAAGAAGCUGGCUCUCUUCUACAAUGUCAUCUCUGCCUUCCUCAACCCCAUCAUCUACAGUCUUCGUAAUAAAGACGUGAAAAGGGCUUUCUUCAAGGUGGUAGGCUGCAGCAAAGUGUCCGGAUGA